rnacentral:rRNA from 1 species
GAUUCUGGCUCAGGAUGAACGCUGGCGGCGUGCCUAACACAUGCAAGUCGAGCGAUUACUUCGGUAAAGAGCGGCGGACGGGUGAGUAACGCGUGGGUAACCUGCCUCAUACACAUGGAUAACAUACCGAAAGGUAUGCUAAUACAGGAUAAUAUAAGAGAUUCACAUGGAUUUUUUAUCAAAGCUCCGGCGGUAUGAGAUGGACCCGCGUCUGAUUAGCUAGUUGGUAAGGUAAUGGCUUACCAAGGCGACGAUCAGUAGCCGACCUGAGAGGGUGAUCGGCCACAUUGGAACUGAGACACGGUCCAAACUCCUACGGGAGGCAGCAGUGGGGAAUAUUGCACAAUGGGCGAAAGCCUGAUGCCAGCAACGCCGCGUGAGUGAUGAAGGCCUUCGGGUCGUAAAACUCUGUCCUCAAGGAAGAUAAUGACGGUACUUGAGGAGGAAGCCCCGGCUAACUACGUGCCAGCAGCCGC